AAGUUUAUUAUGUUCUUCAAUGAACAUAGGGAUUGGAAAUUUAUAAAAUUAGGAAGUAUCUUCAAAAUUAAAAAAUAAAGGAUAUAUAAACACCAAGAGUUCCGAGACAGAACAAACAACAGCAGUCCAUGGGAUGCUCAGACCCAGCUGACUCCAAAGCAGUUUCUUCAUAAAAAAAUAAGGUACUUAAAAAAAAAAAGCUCUGGAAGACAGUGGAGUCAGCAUGGAAAACAUGGAACAUGAAAACAGAAAUGUUACUGCAGCACAUCCUGAUUGUCCAAAGAAAAGUCUGUUGGCAAAACAGGGAAAGCUCUGAGUGCCAAGCUCAGCCCUCUGCUAAAGGCAUCUCCCAAAUUCCACCAGGGUCCUCUAACUCCAGAAGGGCUUUGGAGAGACCUUGAAGCCCAUCCCAACCCACCCCUGCCAAGGCAGGGACACCUGCCACUGUGCCAGGCUGCUCCCAGCCCCAGGGUCCAACCCGGCCUGGGACAUUCCAGGGACGGGGAGUGAGACAUGGAAAGAGCACUGGGAACGUUCCCAGACACAUCCAUGAGGAAUCCUGUGAGGAACCUGUGAGGAACCUGUGAGGAACCCCAGGCUCCUCACUGCUGCUCCUCUGGCUCCUUUGGCACCCUCAGCUCUGGCCCUACUGAGCCAAGCAGGGCUGGAAGUGCAGAUCCCACAGGAUUGUGUCCAGCAUGGAUUCCCUCAGGCUGUGUAAACACCGUGGGAGUGACACCCACAGAACUCUGCUGGAGCUGGCAGGUUCUGCUCAGCUCACAGCUUCAAGUAGAGAAGUGCCCAAAGCUGCUCCUGGUGCAGAGGGACAGCCCUGGGUGGGGUGGGGACACUGGGGUCAUUCCCAGCCAGGGCUGGGGAGCUCCCCCAGCAAGGGCAGCUCUGGGAACCCAAACCCAGCAAUCCCAAAGGCCACAGUGUCCCCUGAGGAUCCCCAAGGUCCCAGUGUCCCCUGAGGAUCCCAAAGGUCUCAGUGUCCCCCUGAGGAUCCCCAAGGUUUCAGUGUCCCCUGAGGAUCCCCAAGGUCUCAGUAUCCCCCUGAGGAUCCCCAAGGUCUCAGUGUCCCCUGAGGAUCCCAAAGGUCUCAGUGUCCCCUAAGGGUCCCCAAGGUCUCAGUGUCCCCCUGAGGAUCCCCAAGGUCACAGUGUCCCCUGAGGAUCCCAAAGGUCCCA